rnacentral:rRNA from 1 species
AACGAACGCUGGCGGCAUGCCUAACACAUGCAAGUCGAACGAAGUCUUCGGACUUAGUGGCGCACGGGUGCGUAACGCGUGGGGAAUCUGCCCUUGGGUGCGGAAUAACUUCUCGAAAGGGAUGCUAAUACCGCAUAAUGUCGUAAGACCAAAGAUUUAUCGCCCAAGGAUGAGCCCGCGUAAGAUUAGCUAGUUGGUGGGGUAAAAGCCUACCAAGGCGACGAUCUUUAGCUGGUCUGAGAGGAUGAUCAGCCACACUGGGACUGAGACACGGCCCAGACUCUACGGGAGGCAGCAGUGGGGAAUAUUGCGCAAUGGGCGAAAGCCUGACGCAGCGACGCCGCGUGGGUGAUGAAGGCC